GACGAACGCUGGCGGCGUGCAUAAUACAUGCAAGUCGAACGAAGUGGGGACGGGUGAGUAACACGUGGGUAACCUCCCAUCAGAGGGGAUAACACUUGGAAACAGGUGCUAAACCGAUACUGAUGGAUGGACCCGCGGUGGAUUAGCUAGUUGGUGAGGUAACGGCUCACCAAGGCCAAGAUGCAUAGCCGACCUGAGAGGGUGAUCGGCCACCCUAGGACUGAGACACGGCCCAGACUCCUACGUGAGGCAGCAGUAGGGAAUCUUCGGCAAUGGACGAAAGUCUGACCGAGCAACGCCGCGUGAGUGAAGAAGGUUUUCGGAUCGUAAAACUCUGUUGUUAGAGAAGCGGUAUCUAACCAGAAAGCCACGGCUAACUACGUGCCAGCAGCCGCGGUAAUUC
rnacentral:rRNA from 1 species